rnacentral:snRNA from 1 species
GUGCUCGCUUUGGCAGCACAUAUACUAAAAUUGGAUCGAUACAGAGAAGAUUAGCAUGGCCCCUGCGAAAGGAUGACACGCAAAUCCGUGGAAGCGCUCCUUAUUUUC